rnacentral:misc_RNA from 1 species
UGAUAGAGGAACCAGUGGAUGAAUUUGUAAUAGAAAAAUGUAUUGAAAUAAGUACUAGUACAGACAUAGUGUAUGAGGUCAAAAUCAAGUAAAUUGUUAUCAUUAUUUAUUAAUUUAAUGUGUGAUAUUGUUGAGGUAGACUGAUGGGGAAACCAGUGGAUUAAUUUGUAAUAGAAAAAUGUACUGAGAUAAGUACAAGUACAGACAUAGUGUAUGAGGUCAAAAUCAAGUAAAUUGUUAUCAUUAUUUAUUAAUUUAAUGUGUGAUAUUAUUGAGGUAGACUGAUGGGGAAACCAGUGGAUUAAUUUGUAAUAGAAAAAUGUACUGAAAUAAGUACAAGUACAG